rnacentral:rRNA from 1 species
UACGUAGGCAGCAAGCGUUGUUCGGAAUUACUGGGCGUAAAGAGUGUGUAGGCGGUGCUCUAAGUCUGUUGUGUAAUCUCCCGGCUUAACUGGGAGGGUGCGGCGGAAACUGGAGUGCUCGAGGGUGGGAGAGGUAAGCGGAAUUCCUGGUGUAGCGGUGAAAUGCGUAGAUAUCAGGAGGAACACCUGUGGUGUAGACAGCUUACUGGACCACUUCUGACGCUGAGACACGAAAGCGUGGGUAGCAAACAGG